UUGUUUGAUUUCUAAGGAUUAGAUUUAAAAUUAGGUUAUUUGGCGGCUGUUUUAUUUAAAGGGAUUUGCUUAUCGAUACAUCUCGGUGAUAGUAUUUAAUUUAUUAUGUAUACCGUCAUUUAGAUAAUUUUAGGAGAAUUAAUUAUGUUAAUAAUAUCAGAUAUUUUAGAUCAAGGUGCAGAAAUAGUUAAGGAUUAGUUAAUGCCAAUAAAUAUUAUUAGCCAGGAUUUUUUUAAUUUUAUUGAAUAGGUGGAUUUAAUUGUAAUUAAAAAUUGUUGAAGAGGGAAGUAUAGUUACAAAUG
rnacentral:rRNA from 1 species